rnacentral:rRNA from 1 species
GAGUGGCGGACGGGUGAGUAACACGUGGGUAACCUGCCCGGAAGUGGGGAUUACCUCGGGGAAACUCGAGCUAAUACCGCAUGACAUCUUUGGGACGAGAGUCCUGACGAUCAAAGCGGGGUCGCAAGAUCUCGCGCUACCGGAUGGGCCCGCGCCCGAUUAGCUAGUUGGCGAGGUAACGGCUCACCAAGGCUUCGAUCGGUAACCGGCCUGAGAGGGCGAUCGGUCACACCGGAACUGAGACACGGUCCGGACUCCUACGGGAGGCAGCAGUGGGGAAUCUUGCGCAAUGGGCGAAAGCCUGACGCAGCAACGCCGCGUGGAGGAUGAAGGCCCUUGGGUUGUAAACUCCUGUCGGCUGGGAAGAAAUCUUGCGGGGCUCAUACCUCCGCAAGUUGACUGUACCAGCAAAGGAAGCCCCGGCUAACUCUGUGCCAGCAGCCGCGGUAAUACAGAGGGGGCUAGCGUUAUUCGGAAUUAUUGGGCGUAAAGGGCGCGUAGGCGGCCCUGCGUGUCUUCCGUGAAAUCCCUCGGCUUAACUGAGGACGUGCGGAAGAAACUGCAGGGCUCGAGUCCGGGAGAGGGGGGUGGAAUUCCCAGUGUAGCGGUGAAAUGCGUAGAUAUUGGGAGGAACACCGGUGGCGAAGGCGGCCCCCUGGACCGGUUC